rnacentral:rRNA from 1 species
GACGAACGCUGGCGGCGUGCCUAAUACAUGCAAGUCGAGCGGACAGAUGGGAGCUUGCUCCCUGAUGUUAGCGGCGGACGGGUGAGUAACACGUGGGUAACCUGCCUGUAAGACUGGGAUAACUCCGGGAAACCGGGGCUAAUACCGGAUGCUUGUUUGAACCGCAUGGUUCAAACAUAAAAGGUGGCUUCGGCUACCACUUACAGAUGGACCCGCGGCGCAUUAGCUAGUUGGUGAGGUAAUGGCUCACCAAGGCAACGAUGCGUAGCCGACCUGAGAGGGUGAUCGGCCACACUGGGACUGAGACACGGCCCAGACUCCUACGGGAGCAGCAGUAGGGAAUCUUCCGCAAUGGACGAAAGUCUGACGGAGCAACGCCGCGUGAGUGAUGAAGGUUUUCGGAUCGUAAAGCUCUGUUGUUAGGGAAGAACAAGUACCGUUCGAAUAGGGCGGUACCUUGACGGUACCUAACCAGAAAGCCACGGCUAACUACGU